rnacentral:tRNA from 1 species
GGAAAUGUGCUCGAGACCAGGGGCCACUUUGAUAGAGUGGACAACAGAGACAACAACCUCUCAUUUCCU